UUCGGGUUAAACGUGCUGUUAUUGGAGCAAAACCAGUCUUGUACUGUUUGCUAACCCAGAAUAAUUCUGCAUAUCGCAUGGUCUUGUACCGGCGAAGUUUCUUUCAAGUAUCUGCUUUAUCAACUAUCGUUGGUAGUUUAUUGGUCUACCAUGGUGUUGACGGGUAACGGAGAAUCAGGGUUUGACUCCGGAGAGGGAGCCUUAGAAACGGCUACCAUGUCUAAGGAUAGCAGCAGGCACGAAAAUUACCCAAUAUCAAAACGAUGAGGUAGUGACGAGAAAUAACGAGAUCGUUCUCAUUGAGAUCGAUUAUUGGAAUGAGUACAAUCCAGAAAUUUUAACGAGUAUCUACGAGAGGGCAAGUCUGGUGCCAGCAGCCGCGGUAAUUCCAGCUCUCGUAAUGUAUAGAAUUAUUGUUGCGAUUAAAAAGUUCGUAGUUGGAUUGCAACGUAGGCAUGGGUCCAUCCUCGUGGUGCGCACUCAAUGUCUACAUUUUGCUGGUUUUUGCGGCGUUGUUUUCGGACGACGUUCGUGAUGCCAGCAGGAUUACUUUGAACGGCUCAAGUGCUUAAAGCAAGUCUUAUGACUGAAUACCGGUGCAUGGAAUAUUGGAACAAGGUUGUGGCUGAGUUUUAUUGGUUUUGUCGGCUAAAACAAUGGUUAACAGGAACAGCCGGGGGCAUUCGUAUCGCUGCGCGAGAGGUGAAAUUCGUGGACCGUAGCGAGACGACCGACAGCGAAGGCAUUUGCCAAGAGUGUUUUCAUUAAUCAAGAACGAAAGUCAGAGGUUCGAAGGCGAUUAGAUACCGC
rnacentral:rRNA from 1 species